rnacentral:rRNA from 1 species
UGGGGAAUAUUGCGCAAUGGGCGAAAGCCUGACGCAGCGACGCCGCGUGAGGGAUGAAGGUUUUCGGCUCGUAAACCUCUGUCAGCAGGGAAGAAACCGCACUGUGCUAAUCAGCAGUGCCUUGACGGUACCUUCAAAGGAAGCACCGGCUAACUCCGUGCCAGCAGCCGCGGUAAUACGGAGGGUGCAAGCGUUAAUCGGAAUUACUGGGCGUAAAGCGCACGUAGGCUGCUUUGUAAGUCAGGGGUGAAAUCCCACGGCUCAACCGUGGAACUGCCUUUGAUACUGCUUAGCUUGAAUCCGGGAGAGGGUGGCGGAAUUCCAGGUGUAGGAGUGAAAUCCGUAGAUAUCUGGAGGAACAUCAGUGGCGAAGGCGGCCACCUGGACCGGUAUUGACGCUGAGGUGCGAAAGCGUGGGGAGCAAACAGG